rnacentral:rRNA from 1 species
AGAAUCAACGCUGGCGGCGUGCCUAACACAUGCAAGUCGAACGAGAAAGUGGAGCAAUCCAUGAGUAAAGUGGCGACCGGGUGAGUAACACGUGACUAACCUACCUUCGAGUGGGGGAUAACAUCGGGAAACCGAUGCUAAUACCGCAUAACAUCGCAAGAUCAAAGCAGCAAUGCGCUGGAAGAGGGGGUCGCGGCUGAUUAGCUAGUUGGCGGGUAACGGCCCACCAAGGCGAAGAUCGGUAGCCGGCCUGAGAGGGCGCACGGCCACACUGGAACUGAAACACGGUCCAGACUCCUACGGAGGCAGCAGUGGGGAAUUUUGCGCAAUGGGGGAAACCCUGACGCAGCAACGCCGCGUGGAGGAUGGAAGCCCCUUGGGGUGUAAACUCCUUUCGACCAAGACGAUAAUGACGGUACUGGUGGAAGAAGCACCGGCUAACUCUGCGCCAGCAGCCGC